rnacentral:rRNA from 1 species
CUUGACGACCAUAGAGCGUUGGAACCACCUGAUCCCAUCCCGAACUCAGAAGUGAAACGACGCAUCGCCGAUGGUAGUGUGGGG